rnacentral:rRNA from 1 species
CCUACGGGAUGCAGCAGUGGGGAAUAUUGGACAAUGGGGGGAACCCUGAUCCAGCGACGCCGCGUGAGUGAAGACGUAUUUCGGUAUGUAAAGCUCUAUCAGCAGGGAAGAAAGAAAUGACGGUACCUGACUAAGAAGCCCCGGCUAACUACGUGCCAGCAGCCGCGGUAAUACGUAGGGGGCAAGCGUUAUCCGUAUUUACUGGGUGUCAAGGGAGCGUAGACGGCGAUGCAAGUCUGAAGUGAAAGGCGGGGGCACAACCCCCGGACUGCUUUGGAAACUGUAUGGCUGGAGUGCAGGAGAGGUAAGUGGAAUUCCUAGUGUAGCGGUGAAAUGCGUAGAUAUUAGGAGGAACACCAGUGGCGAAGGCGGCUUACUGGACUGUAACUGACGUUGAGGCUCGAAAGCGUGGGGAGCAAACAGGAUUAGAUACCCGGGUAGUC